AGUGGAAGAGUUAUGACUUCCAUGCCUUUGCUGCCUAUCAGUUGAAAAGCCCAUAGUAUGAAAAGCCAAUUAAUUGAUAUUAUUUAAAGACUGCUUUUCAGAGGAGUUCUUUGUUGGAGGGACUGAAUCUCAACUCUGUGCUAAAUUAUGCACAAGAGUUAAGGGAGCCUUAAGCACAACAGGCCCUCGACCUCAGCUGUAGCCUCUAAUGUCACCAUAAUGAAGGCAAAUAAAUGACGAUAGGAAGAAAACCCACUUCAGUCACCGCCAGAGACAGAAGCCAAAACAAGAAAAAUCUUGUGAGAACAGACAUCCAGGGCCAAGCUGUCAAAAACCUUCAACAAGGAACUGAAUUGUCAACAGAGGUCCUCAUUUCACAGGUUUUUAUCAUCCCAGGGGAAAGCAAAGGAAGAUCUGACUGUGUCACAAGAACUGCUAAAUUCCUAGACUCACAGAAG